rnacentral:rRNA from 1 species
GUGCCAGCAGCCGCGGUAAGACGAACCGUCCUAACGUUGUUCGGAAUCACUGGGCUUAAAGGGCGCGUAGGCGGCCCUUCGAGUCGGGGGUGAAAUCCCACGGCCCAACCGUGGAAGGGCCUCCGAUACUGAAGGGCUCGAGGGAGGUAGGGGCAGGUGGAACUUCCGGUGGAGCGGUGAAAUGCGUUGAUAUCGGAAGGAACGCCGGUGGCGAAAGCGACCUGCUGGACCUCUUCUGACGCUGAGGCGCGAAAGCCAGGGGAGCGAACGGGAUUAGAAACCCGGGUAGUCC